rnacentral:rRNA from 1 species
CGACCGGCGCACGGGUGAGCAACACGUAUGCAACCUGGCCGCCACAGGGGAUAACCCGCGGAAACGCGGCCUAAUACCCCGUGACGCCACCGGAGGGCAUCCUCCGGUGGCCAAAGGAGCGAUCCGGUGGCGGAUGGGCAUGCGGCGCAUUAGCUAGACGGCGGGGUGACGGCCCACCGUGGCGACGAUGCGUAGGGGUUCUGAGAGGAAGGCCCCCCACACUGGGACUGAGACACGGCCCAGACUCCUACGGGAGGCAGCAG